GAUGAAGAACGUAGCGAAAUGCGAUAAGUAAUGUGAAUUGCAGAAUUCAGUGAAUCAUCGAAUCUUUGAACGCACAUUGCGCCCGCCAGUAUUCUGGCGGGCAUGCCUGUCUGAGCGUCAUUUCAACCCUCAUGCCCCUAGGGCGUGGUGUUGGGGAUCGGCCAAAGCCCGCGAGGGACGGCCGGCCCCUAAAUCUAGUGGCGGACCCGUCAUGGCCUCCUCUGCGAAGUAGUGAUAUUCCGCAUCGGAGAGCGACGAGCCCCUGCCGUUAAACCCCCAACUUUCCAAGGUUGACCUCAGAUCAGGUAGGAAUACCCGCUGAACUUAAGCAUAUCAAUAAGCGGAGGA
rnacentral:misc_RNA from 1 species